rnacentral:rRNA from 2 species
UUCAAGAAGUUACGCGGCGGACGGGUGAGUAACACGUGGGUAACCUGCCCAUAAGACUGGGAUAACUCCGGGAAACCGGGGCUAAUACCGGAUAAUAUUUUGAACUGCAUGGUUCGAAAUUGAAAGGCGGCUUCGGCUGUCACUUAUGGAUGGACCCGCGUCGCAUUAGCUAGUUGGUGAGGUAACGGCUCACCAAGGCAACGAUGCGUAGCCGACCUGAGAGGGUGAUCGGCCACACUGGGACUGAGACACGGCCCAGACUCCUACGGGAGGCAGCAGUAGGGAAUCUUCCGCAAUGGACGAAAGUCUGACGGAGCAACGCCGCGUGAGUGAUGAAGGCUUUCGGGUCGUAAAACUCUGUUGUUAGGGAAGAACAAGUGCUAGUUGAAUAAGCUGGCACCUUGACGGUACCUAACCAGAAAGCCACGGCUAACUACGUGCCAGCAGCCGCGGUAAUACGUAGGUGGCAAGCGUUAUCCGGAAUUAUUGGGCGUAAAGCGCGCGCAGGUGGUUUCUUAAGUCUGAUGUGAAAGCCCACGGCUCAACCGUGGAGGGUCAUUGGAAACUGGGAGACUUGAGUGCAGAAGAGGAAAGUGGAAUUCCAUGUGUAGCGGUGAAAUGCGUAGAGAUAUGGAGGAACACCAGUGGCGAAGGCGACUUUCUGGUCUGUAACUGACACUGAGGCGCGAAAGCGUGUGGAGCAAACAGGAUUAGAUACCCUGGUAGUCCACGCCGUAAACGAUGAGUGCUAAGUGUUAGAGGGUUUCCGCCCUUUAGUGCUGAAGUUAACGCAUUAGCACUCCGCCUGGGGAGUACGGCCGCAGGGUGAAACUCAAGGAAUUGACGGG